UUUUUUCUUUUCUUUUUAGGGCUACACCUGUGGCAUUUGGAAGCUCCUGGGCUAGGGGUUAAAUUGGAGCUGCAGCUACUGGCCUACACCACAGCCACAGCAAUGGCAACACCAGAUCUGAGCCACAUCUGCAAACUAUGCUACAGCUUUCUGCAAGGCUGGAUCCUUAACCCACAGGCGAGACUAGAGAUCGAAACUGCAUCCUCAGAGAGACAGUGUCAGGCUCUUAACUUACUGAGUCACAACAGGAACUCCCUACAAUAAUAUACUUUUCCAAGCAUUGGGCUAGAUACCAUUUCAUUGAUAGGCUCAAAAGAAGUACAUACAGUAAUUUGUGAAAAAUGCUCUGUCAGAGACAUUUACUAUUCAACAAUAUCAAGGGGAACCAACGGGCAUUUUAUGAAAAGAUGACUGGAACAUUGGUGAUUUUCAUCUUACAAACUACUUUAAAGUGUCUUCCAAUUUGUCAGACACUUUUCUUCUAGCACUCUGAACUAAGACGAAUUGUAUUGGAGCAUUUGGGAGUCUAACAAAUGCUUGGAUAAGACGACUUCAAUGUUAACUUGCAACCAACACCUACAAAUGCUAGAUCAGUUACAAUGCCAUUAUUUUAAAUGCAUUGUUAUAUUUAUAAGAAAAACAAGGAAAUCCCAUAUGUGCAAAAAAAAAAAUACAACCUGAAAAAUCAGGAUAAUGAGCUCAUUACUGGAUGUAGACUUUGCUAACUAGAAUGAGAAGUGGAGUACAUGUGGGGUGUUUUCUGCCUUAGUAACCCAUAGGCUGGAGUUUCCCACCUACAUGCGGACAGAAGAGAUGGUGGUCUCAAGAUUGCAUGAAGCAGGGAGAUGGAAAUGGAAAGUCACAUAGUCAGGAUGUUAGAUGGGGAAACCAGAAAAAAAAUUCUUCUAUUGUCACAAGUUGGUGGCAAGGAAUUUUAGAUUUCUGCCAGAAUCCAGGGUUAAAUAAAUAAAUAAGUAAAAAGACAGGAAAUUAGGAAUAAAAGGAAUCAUUCUUUAACUGAUAAAGGGAAUUUACCAAAAAAAGCCCAGAACAAACAUCAAACCUAAACUAAAUUUUUUUUUAAGGGCUGCACUUGGAGCAUAUGGAAGUUCCUGGGCUAGAAGUUGACUCAGAGCUGCCUUGGACACAGCCACAGCAACUCAGGAUCUGAGCCACAUCUUCAGCCUAUGCUACAGCCUGUGGCAAUACAGGAUCCUUAACCCACUGAGCGAGGUCAGGGAUCAAACCCUCAUCUUCAUGGAUACUGGUUGGGUUCUUAACCCACUGAACCACAACGGGAAGGCCAAAAUUAAAUUAAAACAAAACAAAACAAAAUAAAAUAAAACAAAGCUUUGCCCUAGGAAAAGGAUAUUAAUACCAUCAACUAUAGUUAUUAUCAGUCAUAACAGUGAGGGGGGAAAAGGGUAUAAGAACUGGAAGUGAGGACCUCAAUACAUUGCUUUCACAUUCUGUAAUUUUCCACAUAGAAAGCAAUAAAGAAUUUUCAGACAAAUAUCUCCUAGAUAUAACAAGAGAGUUUAGCAAAGAAGAAAACAAGAAAAACUGAAACAACUCAAAAGAAAAAUGGGCAAAGGAUUGACCAAGUGCUUUACUAGAAGGGAAAUACAAGUGACCAGUCAUCAUACUGAAACUGCUCCACCUUAUUAGCCAUCAGGAGAAUUCUAAUUAAGACCAUGCGGAAUUAUGAUUUUACAUCCAUUUGCUGGCAAAACACAAAGUCCGAUGAACUGUAGGACUAUUCUCAGUGGAUUUAUGAAGAUCUUUUUGUCUGUAUAGCUCCCUCCUCUCUGUAACUCUGCCCCAGAACUUCCACGCACCCCACCCUCUCUGAGUCCCCAGUCUGUACUUCCUCAGCCAGUGAGGCAGCCAAACGUUGCUUGCGAUGAUUUUCCCUGUUGUGCAGUAGGGAAUUGCAAAGUUCCCUGGGACAAUCACUAGGCUCAUCUUGUUUUUUUUACCUUCUCCCAGGCAGCACAAUCUGGGACUGCCCAUUGUCUAAUACCUGAAAACAGCUGUUUAAUUUACAUUGUUCAGUUUCUAGGUGCUUGUAGUGGGAGGGUAUAUAUGGUUCCUGUUAUUCUCUCAUGGCUGGAAAUGGUAAUCCCCUGUGUUAUGCAUGACGGAAUUCUGAGAGAAUGAAACAAUGGAAGGAAAGGACUCAAGAAAUCUGCACAUGGGUGUCCUUGGACUUUUCCUGAUCUUGCCUGCAUAGGGUAAAAUUUCAUGCAGUUAGGGGGGAAAAAUGACAAAGGAUCUUUCAACAGAAUGGUUCCAAGAACUCAAGCAGGACAUGAAGUUUUAAGCAGUCCUCACUGAGGAAUUGAGGAUUGCAAAUCCUCAUUGAUCACUUGGGGCAUUUAUUAGAGACCUUAGAUUGUUCAGAUCACAUAAAUGAGAAUAAAUCAUCCUUGUAGUAGAGAUUACUCUGGAUCUUCCCUAACAAAGCUUAGAAUAAGACCCUGAAAUAGUAACCUAAUUUGCAAUUAAUGUUACCACCUAUAAAAAUAAAGUCUAACAGUCUGUAGAGGAAGUCGACAAAAUCCAGACACAAAAAAUGAUCACUUAAAAAAUUCACAAUGUCCAUAAUUCAAUGAAAAACUAAUUUAACAUUUGAUAAUCAGUAAAAUCUACCACUUUUAAAGCAAGAAGAUGUGACCAAUAAUUAGGAGGAAAAUCAGCCAAUAGAAAAAGCCAAAAAUGAUGGAAACAGAUGGAAAUGAUGGAAUUAAAAGACAAGGCUGUUAGAACCAUAACAUACAAAGGAAAAUGUGAAAUGAAUGAGAGAAACGGAGAUAUAAGAAAGAACCAAAUGAAACCACAGAUAUGAAAAAUAAAAUAUUUGAAAUGAAAGUUCAUCAAAUUGGGCUAAUAGAAGAUUACAUGCUGCAAAAGAAGUCUUAAAAACAGAAACUAACCACGAUGAAGCAUAGAGAAAAUAAUUUUAGUACAUCUAAUCCAGUUGUAUAUAUAUAAAAAAUAUAGGAAUAAUAUUGUUAUAUCAAAUCUAGCAGUACAUAUAUAUAGAUAUAUAUAUAGAUGGAUACAUACAUAUAUACUUAUAAAAUACAUGUACAAAAUGUACUCUAUACACAUAAAAAUUUAUAUAUGUGUGUGUUUAUGUAUAUAGCAGUGUUUAUCCUGAGAGUGCAAGAUUAAUUAACAUUGGAUAAUCAAUAAACUUUACCAUCUUAAAAAAUAAAUAAUAAACGUUAUAAUAUCAUCUAAAUAGAUGUAAAACUGUAAUUUAAAAAUUAACUGUCAAUCAUAAAACUUUUAGCAAAAUAAGAAUAGAUGAUUUUUUCAACAUGAUAAAGGAAAUUCAUGAAAAUCAUAAGCUAACUUCAUAAUUAAUAUUAAGGAAUUGAAAUAUUUUCCUAAGUUCAGAAAAAAAGGCAAGCACAUUAAUUCUCAAUAUUGCUAUUCAGUGUUGUAUAUAGGCCAUAGCCACAGCAACUCCAGAUCCAAGCCGCAUCUGCAACCUAUGCCACAGCUUGCAGCUAUGCAUGAUCUGUAACCCAAUGAGUGAGUCCAGGGAUUGAACAUGUAUCUUCAUAGAUACUAGUUGGGUUCUUAACCCAUUGAGCCACAACAGGAACUCCCUAUUUUGUCGAAAAAAAAUUAGGGGAUCUUCUAAAAACAUUACUAGAAAUUACAGCAGAAAUUAUCACAACUGGAGUUCCUGUUGUGGCUCAGUGGUAAUGAAUCUGACUAGUAUCCAUGAUCCCUGGCCUUUCUCAGUGGGUUAAGGAUCCAGCAUUGUCAUUAGCUGUGAUGUAGGUUGCAGAUGUGUCUCAGAUCUCAAGUUUCUGUGGCUGUGGUGUAGGCCAGCAGCUGUACCUCCAAUGUGACCCCUAGCCUAGGAAACUCCAUAUGCCACAGGUGCAGCCCUAUAAAGCAAAAAUAAAGAAAGAAAGAAAUUACCACAACCUUGUAAAUCAACUAUACUUCAAUAAAACUUAAAAAAAAACACUACUGAAGUUAAAAAUGACUUUAGUCAGGUUAAAUGAAACAAGGUCAAAAUAAAAAAUUAAAUUACAUUUCAUGAUAUUGGUAAUGGACAUUUAAAAUUUGAAAUUAGAAAAAAAUCAGUAUAUUUAUAUUGUUGAAAGGAAAAUUAUAAAAUAUAUGUAAGAAAAUUAAUAAAGCAUAUGCAAUCCUAAAAGGAAAGAGGAGAAAACACUGGCAAAAUUUGGACAAGCUGUUUUUUUUUAAGUAGAACAAAAAAAGUAUGAAGUAUAAAAAAAUUACAGUAUAAACAUGAAAAUUCCAAAAUUUUGUGCACCAUUAAAAAAUAGGAAAGCAAGUUAAAGAACAAAAUAUUGGAGUUCCCGUCGUGGCUCAAUGGUUAACAAAUCCGACUAGGAACCAUGAGCUUGCAGGUUUGAUUCCUGACCUUGUUCAGUGGGUUAAAGAUCCGGUGUUGCUGUGAGCUGUGGUGUAGGUCUCAGACACAGCCCGGAUCUCAUGUUGCUGUGGCUCUGGCAUAGGCCAGUGGCUACAGCUCCAAUUAGACCCCUGGCCUGGGAUCCUCCAUAUGUCACGGGUGCGGCUGUAGAAAAAGACAAAAAAGAAAAAAGAAAGAACAAAAUAUUUGCUUUCUUUCACUAUAGAUUAAAGGAAUUGUAUCUAGAAUUUAUAAGAAAUUUGUAAUCCUAAAUGAGAAUGCAAUAAACUCAAGUACAAAAAAAGAAUGUGAAUAGAUACAUUAGAAAUUAACUAUAUGAAGGCCCAGUAAGCAUAUUAAAAUUUUUGACAUUAAUAUUCAUAAAGGAAGUGUAAAUUAAAUCCACAAUGAAGUGCCAUUGCACAUCUAUUAGAAUUAAAAUGUCAAAAAGAUUGAAAAUUCAAAAUUUUAGCAAGAAUGUGAAAAAACCAAACUUCCUGUAAAUUUCUGGUGGGAAUGUAAAAGUGGCACAACCACUCUGGAAAAUAAUUUAGCAGUAUCUUAUAAAGUUAAAUAUGUACUUGCUAUAUGACCCAGUAACUUUUAUCCAUAUUCACCCAAGAAAGAUGAAACAUGUCCACAGAAAGACUUGUUCACAAAUAUUCAGAGUAGCUCUAUUUGCAAUGGCCUAAACUUAAAUAUCCACCAACAAGUGAAUGCACUUAACAAAGUGUAGUAUUUCCAUACACUGGAAAACUACUUAGCAUUAUGAAGAAAUAAACUAUUAAUACACACAGCAACAUGGGUAACCCAUAAAAACAUUUUGUUGCAUAAAAGAAGACAGCAGAGAUUACUUCUGUACUGAUGGUUUCUAUUUAUAUGAAACUCAAGGAAAUAUUAACUUCAUGUACUGUGAUAGAAAGAUCAGCAGUUGCCUGGAUCCAGGGAGGGGUGGUGAUUUUCUGGGGAGGAGGAACAAGGGAAUGUGUUUGGGGUAAUAGAAAUAUUUUGUAAAUGAUUUUGCUGAUGGUCACAGUAGGUAUGCUUUGUCAAAACUAAAUGGACAGUUAAAAUGGGUACUAUUUAUAAACUAUGCUCGAUAAAAUUUUAUUUUAAAAGUCUUGAUAAAAUCAAGUGGGGGGAGAUAUCUCAUGGUUUUGAUUUGUAUUUCUCUAAUAAUUAGUGACACUGAGAACAGUUUCAUAUACCUGGUGGCCAUUCAUAUGUCUUCUUUGGAGAAAUGCCUAGUCAAGUUCUUUUCCCACUUUUUAAUUGGGUUAUGAAAUAUUACCUCACUCCUGUUAGGAUGGCUAGUGUUAAAAAAGAAACAAAAAAUAAAAAAUGUUGGCAAGGAUACGGAGAAACCAGAACACUUGUACAUUGUUGGUAAUGUAAAAUGGUUAGCUGCUACGGAAAAGAGUAUACGGUUUCUUCAAAAAUAUAAAAAUAGAUUUACCAUAUAAUACACCAAUUCCGACUCUGUGAUAGGUUUAAAAGAAAUGAACUCAGGAUCCUGAGAGAUAUGCAUUUCCAUGUCCACUUCAGCAUUGUACGCAAUAGCCGAGACAUGAAAACUACCUCUAUGUCCAUCAGUGGAUGAAUGCAUAAAGGAGAUGCAGUAUAUACAAACAAUGGCAAAUUAGCCUCAAAAAAGAAGGACAUCCUGUUAUUAGCAACAGUAUAGAUGAACCUGGAAGACCUUAUGCUGAGUGAAAUAAGCCGGUCUUAGAAGGACAUAUACUGUACGAUGUUACUUAUAUGAGGUACAUAAAAUAGUCAAGCUCAUAGAAGUAGAGCAUAGAAUGGUGAUUGCCAGGGGCUAGGGAGAGGGGAAAAUGAGGAGUUGUUCAAUAAGUAUAAAGUUUUAGGUACGAAAGAGGAAUAAAUUCUAGAAAUCUGUUGUGCAACAUUGUGAUUAUAAUGAAUAACUCAGUGUUGCAUAUUUAAGAGUGUAGGUCUCAUAUUGUGCUCUUUGCACACACACACACACACACACACACACACACACGCACACACACACACAAAGGGACACAAGGAAACAUUUGGAGAUAAUGGAUAUGUUUAUCACCUUGAUUAGGUGACAGUGUCACAGGUAUAAGUGUUCCGAAGUGGAAGAUUCUUGUCUCAUCAAAGAAGGAAUUCAAAAAUGAGAUGGAAAUUGAGACAAUAAAGAGAGAAUUUAUUUAAGUGAGAAAUACACCUCUUAAAGAGAAGUGGGCAGAGAGGUGAGUAGCUGCCCUGUGUUUCUUUGGCAGGCAUUCAAUUGCAUAGGCAGAAUAUCCACUGGGAAGGAGGGUUUGGGGAUCAUAUUCCCUGAUUUUCAUUCCAACUCCUCUUUCCUGACGGGGUGAGAUUUUUGUUCUUAUUAACUUUGAUAGGAAGUGUCAUGAUGUUGGUGCAUGACAGGUACUUUUUAUCUGCCUGGCUAAUUUUAUUGUAAUAAGGGCAUAAUGAAUAACAGGUUACAUUUGAAUGCUGUAGAUGCAUACCCUUUUCCACAUUUCUUUGCCCUCCAGGGCACUU
rnacentral:lncRNA from 1 species